CCUACGGGUGGCAGCAGUGGGGAAUAUUGCACAAUGGGCGGAAGCCUGAUGCAGCAACGCCGCGUGAAGGAAGAAGGGUUUCGGCUCGUAAACUUCUAUUAUCAGGGACGAAAGAAAUUACGGUACCUGAAUAAGAAACCACGGCUAACUACGUACCAGCAGCCGAGGGAAUCCGUAGGGGGCAAGCGUUAUCCGGAGUUACUGGUUGUAAGGGGUGAGUGGGCGGCAUGGUAAGCCAGAUGUGAAGGCCUUGGGCUUAACCCGAGGAGUGCAGUUGGAACUAUCGAGCUAGAGUACAGGAGAGGAAAGCGGAAUUACUAGUGUAGCGGUGAAAUGCGUAGAUAUUAGGAAGAACACCAGUGGCGAAGGCGGCUUUCUGGACUGAAACUGACGCUGAGGCACGAAAGCGUGGGGAGCGAACAGGAUUAGAUACCCCUGUAGUC
rnacentral:rRNA from 1 species